rnacentral:rRNA from 1 species
AACGAACGCUGGCGGCGCGUCUUAAGCAUGCAAGUCGGACGGCAGGGUGCCUUCGGGCAUCCGAGAGUGGCGAACGGGUGAGUAACACGUAAGUGAUCUGCCCUCCAGUUGGGGAUAGCCUGUGGAAACACAGGGUAAUACCGGAUGAGAUGACAAUGAUUGAACUAUGUCAUGAAAGUGGCUACGGCCACGCUGGGGGGAUGAGCUUGCGGCUCAUUAGCUAGGUUGGGGGUGUAACGGACCACCAAGGCGACGAUGAGUAGCCGGCCUGAGAGGGUGAACGGCCACAUUGGGACUGAGACACGGCCCAGACUCCUACGGGAGGCAGCAGCUAAGAAUAUUCCGCAAGUGGGGGAACCCUGACGGAGCGACGCCGCGUGAACGAUGAAGGCAGAGAUUGUUGUAAAGUUCCUUUUAGAUAUGAGGAAUAAGCAGUGUGAGAAGAAACGCACUGUGGUGACUGUAGUAUCAGAAUAAGGGGCGGCUAAUUACGUGCCAGCAGCCGC